GUAAUACUCUCUCCGUCCGGAAUUACUUGUCAUAAAAAUGGAUGAAAAUGGAUGUAUUUAGAACUAAAAUACAUCUAGAUACAUCCAUUUCAAUGACAAGUAUUUUCGGACGGAGAGAGUACUAC
rnacentral:pre_miRNA from 1 species